GAUGAACGCUGGCGGCGUGCCUAAUACAUGCAAGUCGAGCGAACAGACGAGGAGCUUGCUCCUUUGACGUUAGCGGCGGACGGGUGAGUAACACGUAGGUAACCUACCUAUAAGACUGGGAUAACUUCGGGAAACCGGAGCUAAUACCGGAUAAUAUUUCGAACCGCAUGGUUCGAUAGUGAAAGAUGGCUUUGCCAUCACUUAUAGAUGGACCUGCGCCGUAUUAGCUAGUUGGUAAGGUAACGGCUUACCAAGGCAACGAUACGUAGCCGACCUGAGAGGGUGAUCGGCCACACUGGAACUGAGAUACGGUCCAGACUCCUACGGGAGGCAGCAGUAGGGAAUCUUCCGCAAUGGGCGAAAGCCUGACGGAGCAACGCCGCGUGAGUGAUGAAGGUCUUCGGAUCGUAAAACUCUGUUAUUAGGGAAGAACAAACGUGUAAGUAACUGUGCACGUCUUGACGGUACCUAAUCAGAAAGCCACGGCUAACUACGUG
rnacentral:rRNA from 1 species